rnacentral:antisense_RNA from 1 species
AUGAUUCUCCAAGUUCUCUUUCUCCUACUGUGGCACCUACUGACAAGAUAAAUGUGUAGAGGUUCCUGAGUCUAGGGGCACUGGAACCAGCUGACUGAUCUAUGGAAGUUCCCUUGGUCUACAUUUGUUUAGAAAAGCUGCAAUAAAGCAUAACCAGGAGUACAACAGAUUUCAAUUUCUGUGAGUCCUUCUAGCAAAUUGCCAAAACUGAAGAUGGUUUUGGGAACAUCCAAAGUUAUACCAGAGCUUUCAUGGUGAAAGAAGAGGGCAAAACUCAACCCGUCUCUUCAGACUUGGGAAGAAUAUGAAAGGACCAGGAGGGACACCUUUCCUAAUAACCUAGCUGAUGGUUCACUUAUUAGGCUGGAAAGCUAAAAAAUGACAUUCCCAGACUCCAUUGGAAUUAGAUUUCCAGAGGUUGUCUCACUAAGCCCAAAUUUGUCUAACUGGCCUUAUUUCCCUGGAGUAUACCCUGGAAGUCUCCAUUCAAGCCAAUUUAAGUUACUUUAAAUUAGGAAAGGCAGAAAACAAAAGCCCAAACCUUUGUAAAGGAGGAGGAUUUGCUACAUUGUUCUCAAUUCAUCACAGAAGAGGAUGAAACUGAGUGAUUACACUUGCUGGAGAGAAA